UGUGGGCUGUGCCUUUUGAUGGGGUAGAGACCAGGCAGGUGGAGUGGUCCAAGGGCUGGAACAAUGCUGGUUUCUGCACUGCUGCUCCUUUUCGAGACUCACCUUUGCCACUUUGCAACUGAAUUUUGGAGAUUCUGAGGGGCAGAACACUCCUGUGAACUUCACUGACAGCUGGAUGGACUUGGCAGAGAGAACCCAUCUGAAAGGGUGUUGGAACCUCAGCUGCAGUGGAAAAUAACCAGAAUGCAUCCAUUGUCUGCCACUGUCAUGGGCACCAAGAGAUUUACUGGAGGAAGUACAGAGGGAGCCAUAUACAUCAGCUGAUGACAGGUGGGGAUUGUCUCCCAGGUUGAUGGAAUCACAUCUCACACCUGCAGUAUGGAUGUGCUGUUUAUUUCACCUGCUGGCGGGCAGGGACUGUCUCCUGGCUUGAUGGAAUCAGCUCUCACUCUUGCAAUACAAAUAUACUGUAAAGCAGGAGUUGUUUGGGCAAAAACUUAUACACACGGGAGGACUUCAUGUGCCUGGUUAUUUAAUGUGAUUGCCUUGAAUUCAUGAGAGUUCAAUUGUGUAAAUCUGGUGCAGGCUGGGUAAAAUUUUAUGGAUUGUCUCAUUUUGCACCAAAUCACAGAGUAGCUGGUAGUGGGCAGGCAAACAAUUGCUCUACCUGAUGUCUCUGUUUUCCAUUUAUCAAACUUCUUUUUUCAUGAUUCAGGUAUCUGUGGCCUUUUCCUCCUCACUUGGGAUUUGGACUGGUUUCUCAAAUUUUGAUUUUCUGUCUUCUGUUAAUAUUUAACUCAUGCCAUUUCUUUGAGAAAUUAUUAUUGCAACUGCUGAAUGCCAUUUGUGGUCAAAACAGCAUAGUAACAUUAAUCAUAUACAUCAUCUGUGGUGUCGCUGGCAUGCAGAAAAGACAUAAAUACACUUUCCAGGCUUCACAAUCUUGAAAAGUAAUUGAUGCUUUGUAUAAUUGUCUGAUAGAUACUUACAGCUAGAUGGCUUCAUAUUCUUUUACACCCUCUAAUUUCUGUAGUCUGUUCAUGAUCACUUGGACUUAGUGCAUACUGAAGCCCUGCUUCCUGGGAAGUGGCUGGACCUUGCCUGCUGAUGAGAAGUAGAGAAUAAAUCUUUUGUUUUCAUUUGCUUCCACACAUGACCUUUGCUUUUGCUUUAUUAAACUGCCUUUAUCUUGACUC